rnacentral:rRNA from 1 species
GACGAACGCUGGCGGCGUGCUUAACACAUGCAAGUCGAACGAUGAAGGAGAGCUUGCUCUCCGGAUUAGUGGCGAACGGGUGAGUAACACAUGACUAACCUGCCCCUUUCUCUGGGAUAACGCUCCGAAAGGAGUGCUAAUACCGGAUACGAACUCUGAACACAUGUUCGGAGUUGGAAAGUUUUUCGGAAAGGGAUGGAGUCGCGGCCUAUCAGCUUGUUGGUGAGGUAACGGCUCACCAAGGCGACGACGGGUAGCCGGCCUGAGAGGGCGACCGGCCACACUGGGACUGAGACACGGCCCAGACUCCGACGGGAGGCAGCAGUGGGGAAUAUUGCACAAUGGGCGAAAGCCUGAUGCAGCGACGCCGCGUGAGGGAUGAAGGUCUUCGGAUUGUAAACCUCUUUCAGUAGGGACGAAGCGAAAGUGACGGUACCUAAAGAAGAAGCACCGGCUAACUACGUGCCAGCCGCCGCCGUAA